UACGUAGGGGGCAAGCGUUGUCCGGAAUCAUUGGGCGUAAAGAGCGUGUAGGCGGCUCGGUAAGUCCGCUGUGAAAGUCCAGGGCUCAACCCUGGAAUGCCGGUGGAAACUGUCGAGCUAGAGUCCGGAAGAGGCGAGUGGAAUUCCUGGUGUAGCGGUGAAAUGCGCAGAUAUCAGGAGGAACACCAAUGGGCGAAGGCAGCUCGCUGGGACGGUACUGACGCUGAGACGCGAAAGCGUGGGGAGCAAACAGG
rnacentral:rRNA from 1 species